CCCAGGGUUUUUUUUUGUUUGACGCUGAGAUCCUGUCAAGUAAUGACUCAAAGUACAAAGAAGCCCGAAAGAGCAAAGGGGCAUGGAAAUGUAGACAAUCGCUUCUGGAAGAAUAGCUGUCCUGGCUUCAAGACCCUCAAAUGAUAGAUUGAUUGUACUAUUGUCAAUCGGGAGAUUUUACCUGUUUCUGUCAUUCUUUUCAAUAGUUACAUUGGCAUGCAAGUUAGAUCAAUGGUCAACGGAAUAUCCAUUUUGUACAUGUUUCCAUGAUAAAACACUAUUUACAUUUUCA